rnacentral:snRNA from 1 species
UCAACCUGAAAUAAUACAUAUAA